rnacentral:lncRNA from 1 species
GCCUACUAGUAUCCAUGGGGAUCCAUAAGGGUGUCCUCGCUACACGUGAACCAUUCUCCUUAACAAUCUUAAUUCAAGGGCCGUCCCCAUACCCCGUCCGAUAUGAGUGCCAAGACAUUAAACCUCAAUACCCCGCCCAGUAUGAGGGUAAAGCCGGCCGUCCCCAUACCCAGUCUGAUAUAAGCGCUAAAUGACCAAGUCUCCAUACCCCAUCCGGUAUGAGACUACAUUCACGGUAGGGUUCCCUAUGAACCCAGUCCAUCCACCAUCUUUCAGGAUAUCUAGUGAGGCUGUCACCUUAUCUGUUUUCCUUAGUCCCCAUUACCAAGUUAAACAUAAUCACAUAAACAAUAAACAUGCACCCGGUAAUACAAUCAUAUCUUAAAUUCUAAAAUUACACAGUGGUCAAGUAAGACAGUAAUACAUGCAUUUAAAACCAUAGAAUAGAUAAACUAGAUACCAUAAUGCAUUUAAUCUGUAAAAUAAAUCAAGUAGGAAUCGACAGAGAAUAAUGUCUAGUUCUGGCUCCAUUAGCAACCUUAAUUAAUUAUGCAUAUUUAUCUAACCUGUACAAAAGACCGCAUUAUUAUUUAUUCAAACUUCACAUCUAUGAUAGGAAAUAGGGUGAGGGGUUCUUUCUUGAUUUGACGCCGAAAAGCUAAAUGGUUAUUGCGCCUAUGGGCGGUCCCUGGGUUCCCCAAAUUUCUUUUCGGGAACUAAAAUGCACUUACGGUACCUACAAAUGUCCCAAAUAAACCAAAAUAAGUCCCAGGGCCUACUCGACCAAUUUCUGAAAUCUGGCACGGUGGCUCCGCCGUGCUCCGACGACGGCGCCAUUGCCCACGGCUGCGAUCAGCCUCGGGUUGGCUAUUUUCAGCCCUUUUUGGCUGAAUUCAUCCAAACUUGCAUCGGUUCCUACGAGAAAACACACUUAGGGCCCUCGGUGGGCUGAAAAAUGUAAAAAACUGAAACUCACCAGCGGUGUGGCACUCCGAUGCGGCGGCUCCUCCAGCUCACGUUGCAGUUGGGUGUUUUGCUCUGAUCAAUCUGUAGAG